GCAUCGGUGGGGUAUCGUAAACCCCCAACCCUCGUGUUCGAAACUACUGGACAUUUGAGUGGUUGAGAGCGGGGUUCGACUCCCUGUCGGUGCG